rnacentral:rRNA from 1 species
UACGUAGGGGGCAAGCGUUGUCCGGAAUCAUUGGGCGUAAAGAGCGCGUAGGCGGUCCUGUAAGUCCGCUGUGAAAGUCAAGGGCUCAACCCUUGGAUGCCGGUGGAUACUGCAGGGCUAGAGUCCGGAAGAGGCGAGUGGAAUUCCCGGUGUAGCGGUGAAAUGCGCAGAUAUCGGGAGGAACACCGGUGGCGAAGGCGGUUCUCUGGGCCUUACCUGACGCUGAGGAGCGAAAGCGUGGGGAGCGAACAGG